UACAGAGGUCCCAAGCGUUGUUCGGAUUCACUGGGCGUAAAGGGUGCGUAGGUGGUUGGGUAAGUUUGAUGUGAAAGCUCGGAGCUUAACUCCGAAAUGGCAUUGAAUACUUCUUAACUUGAGGGUCGGAGGGGAGACUGGAAUUCUCGGUGUAGCAGUGAAAUGCGUAGAUAUCGAGAGGAACACCAGUGGCGAAGGCGAGUCUCUGGACGACUCCUGACACUGAGGCACGAAAGCUAGGGGAGCAAACAGG
rnacentral:rRNA from 1 species